rnacentral:lncRNA from 10 species
CUCGUGCGUCACCUCCCAAGUAGCUGGGGCUAGAGGCAUGUGCCACCAUGUCUGGUUACUUUUUAUAUAAACCUUCAGUUUAAUCUUUUAGCUUACUGCUGUGUUUUUCAGCUUUAUUCACUUUGCUUUUUUUCUAUAUUUUCGUUUCAACUCAACUUUUAAAAAAUCAUACUUGUAUAUUUGUAUAUUUAUAUUUAUUUUCCAAGACCUCAUUUGCCUCUUUUUCAUAAUGGGCUAUUAUUGCUCCAUGGUACAGAAUCUUCUGUUCUUUCCUAAACUAUUAGUUAUUUUUAAAAUAUUUGUUAACUUUCUCCCCCUUGCUAGUUCUCAGGUACCCGCUUUCUCCCAGAGUGCUGGCUUUCCUUAAUUAUUUGCUGACUUGUGCUGGUGUGUAACCCUUCAUACUUAGGUAUUUCUAUUUGUCUGACUGCUGAUUUGAUUCCAAUCCAGUGUUUCUUCUGAUUCGUGGAGAAGAGACGACAACGCUGUGAGGCUCUGGUUUUGGUGGCUUGUCUGGGUGUGGGAGCUCCUUGUCAUCAUGGGAUUUUUAGCUCCCUGGGUCGCCAUCCUACAUGGCCACUCUCCUGCCGAUGCUGCCCGCUACUCAGCAGGAGGGGAAGUCGAGACCACCUCCUUAACCUUACAGACAUUGAUUGUGAGCUUGGAGCACCUUCCGUGACUGGACCACCCAUGCAGUGGUCCUUUGCUUUUUGCAUUUUUAACUGCAAUUUUCCCCAAGAGUCUUCCCUAAUACAGUCUCUUAGGAAUUGACGGUGGGAUUAAACAAGGCAUGUUUCUGCACUGAAUAUGGUCUAUGGGUUGCCACUUUGCAACCUCAGCUUUAAGGCUUAUUUCCUCCCAGGAAACUGAUGUUAACUUUUUAAGUUAAAAAUGUGUAUAUAAGUAAUACAUGUUUAUUUUGGAAAUUAGAAAAUACAGGCCAGGUGUGGUGGCUCAUGCCUGUAAUCCCAGCAUUUUGGGAGGUUGAGGCAGGAGGAUUGCCUGAGCCCAGGAGUUUGAGACCAGCCUGGGCAACAUAGGGAAAUUCCAUCUCUACAAAAAAAUUAAACAUUAGCUGGGUGUGGUGGUGCCCACCUGUGGUCACAGCUACUCGGGAGACUGAGGUGGGAGGAUAGCUUGGGCAGGGGAGGUUGAGGCUACAGUGAGCCACGAUCACACCAAUGUGACACAGUGAGACCCUGUCUCAAAAAAAAAAAAAAAGAAAGAAAAUAUAGGUAAACACAAAGACAAAAAAGCAGGGCAUGGUGGCUCACACCUGUAAUUCUAGCACCUUGGGAGGCUGAGGCAGGAGGAUCACUUGAGGUCAGGAACUCGAGACGAGACCAGGCUGGGCAGCAUGGCGAGACCCCAUCUCUAUAAAAAGUACAAAAAUUAGCAGGGCACGGUGGUGUGCACCUGUGGUCCUGCUACUUGGGAAGUUGAGGUGGGAGGAUCACCUGAGCCCUGGAGGUUGAGGGUGCUGUGAGCCAUGAUGGCACCACUCCACUCCAGUCCAGGUGAAAGAGCCAGAUCCUGUCUCAAAAAAAAAAAAAAAAAAAAGUGGCUGGGCAUGUAAACUUACCAAGGACCAAGGAGACAAGUCUUGAGAGAAAGGAAGGCAACUCAAAGGAUGGACUUUUAAACACUUGUAACCAGCAUUGGGAACAGUAGUAGGUUGAAGAGGGAAAUCUAGAACUCAUGCCUGAAAACUGCCAGUCAUCCAGCCCAUUUUUCCAUACAGACAUUUGGAAAUAAGUUAAUGGAGCCAUUUUGGUGAGAGCCCUCUGUUCCCUUCAGGAGGCCUUUGUCAGGAAGAGGGUGGGGCAGGGGACUCACCCCCCACUCAAAUCUGGAACUGAAACCAGCUUCAAAGCCGAGUGCAGAGCCAGCGCGGUGGCUCAUGCCUGUCAUCCCAGCACUUUGGGAGUCCAAGGCAGGCCUCACUUGAGGUCAGGAGUUCCAGACCGGCCUGGCCAACAUGGUGAUUGCACCACUGCGCUACAGCCUUGGGUGACAGAGCAAGACUCUGUCUCAAAAAACAAAACAACAAUAAAACAAAGCAGAGUGCAGGAGUGGCUGUGGACUCUGGACGCCCUGCUAGGAUUAGGAUGGGUGUUCCUGGCUCAUGGGCCUCACUGGCUCUUCUGAUGCCCUGCCACCCCCACCCCAGACUGGCUUUGAGCCCCGGAAACCUUGACAGCUUUCUAGAGGUGUCUGUCAGUUAGGUUGUGCCACGCGAAGUUGCCGUUUCUGCAGGUCAAAUAGUGGUGGACUAUUGGCAAUUUCUAGGCACCUCUGGUCUGGUUGAUCCAAAUCCUCCAACCUGUGGCACAUUUAUUUAGCGCUCAUUUUGUGCCAGCCUGCCUGCUAAGCAACUUAUAGCCAUUUUUAUUUGUAUUUAUUUUUCUUUUUGAGACAGGGCCUCGCUCUGUCGCCCAGGCUAGAGUGCAAUGGCGCAAUCUCGGCUCACUGCAACCUCCACCUCCCGGAUUCA